rnacentral:rRNA from 1 species
UAAAGCGUCCGCAGGCGGCCUUGAAAGUCUGUUGUUAAAGCGUGGAGCUCAACUCCAUUUCAGCAAUGGAAACUACAAGGCUAGAGUGUGGUAGGGGCAGAGGGAAUUCCCGGUGUAGCGGUGAAAUGCGUAGAUAUCGGGAAGAACACCAGUGGCGAAGGCGCUCUGCUGGGCCAUAACUGACGCUCAUGGACGAAAGCCAGGGGAGCGAAAGGGAUUAGAUACCCUGG